rnacentral:rRNA from 1 species
UACGUAGGGUGCGAGCGUUAAUCGGAAUUACUGGGCGUAAAGGGUGCGCAGGCGGUUCCGCCAGUCAGGCGUGAAAUCCCCGGGCUUAACCUGGGAAUGGCGCUUGAAACUACGGGACUGGAGUAUGGCAGAGGGGGGUGGAAUGCCACGUGUAGCAGUGAAAUGCGUAGAGAUGUGGCGGAACACCGAUGGCGAAGGCAGCCCCCUGGGCUGAGAUUGACGCUCAGGCGCGAAAGCGUGGGGAGCAAACAGG